rnacentral:tRNA from 1 species
UUAAUUGAAGCCAAAAAGAGGCUUAUCACUGUUAAUGAUAAAAAUGAAUAAAAUUCCAAUUAAA